AGUGAACGCUGGCGGUAGGCCUAACACAUGCAAGUCGAACGGCAGCACAGUAAGAGCUUGCUCUUACGGGUGGCGAGUGGCGGACGGGUGAGGAAUACAUCGGAAUCUACUUUUUCGUGGGGGAUAGCGUAGGGAAACUUACGCUAAUACCGCAUACGACCUACGGGUGAAAGCAGGGGAUCUUCGGACCUUGCGCGAGUGAAUGAGCCGAUGUCGGAUUAGCUAGUUGGCGGGGUAAAGGCCCACCAAGGCGACGAUCCGUAGCUGGUCUGAGAGGAUGAUCAGCCACACUGGAACUGAGACACGGUCCAGACUCCUACGGGAGGCAGCAGUGGGGAAUAUUGGACAAUGGGAGCAAGCGUGAUCCAGCCAUACCGCGUGGGUGAAGAAGGCCUUCGGGUUGUAAAGCCCUUUUGUUGGGAAAGAAAAGCAGCAGGUUAAUACCCCGCUGUUCUGACGGUACCCAAAGAAUAAGCACCGGCUAACUUCGUG
rnacentral:rRNA from 1 species